UACGAAGGGGGCUAGCGUUGCUCGGAAUCACUGGGCGUAAAGCGCACGUAGGCGGUUUGCUAAGUCAGGGGUGAAAUCCUGGAGCUCAACUCCAGAACUGCCUUUGAUACUGGCGGACUUGAGUCCGGGAGAGGUGAGUGGAACUGCGAGUGUAGAGGUGAAAUUCGUAGAUAUUCGCAAGAACACCAGUGGCGAAGGCGGCUCACUGGCCCGGUACUGACGCUGAGGUGCGAAAGCGUGGGGAGCAACCAGG
rnacentral:rRNA from 1 species